AAGGUUUGAAGACAGAUUGUGCCGGCAACAAACUAACGGUGACGGGGAAAGUGGACCCAGCAAAAAUCAAAGCCAGGCUUGAAGAGAAGACCAAGAGGAAAGUCGAGAUUAUCUCUCCCCAACCUAAGAAAGACGAUGGUGCCGCCGCCAAAGUUAUUUCCGUUUACAAGCUGGACAUGUAUUGUGAAGGCUGUGCCAAGGAAAUUAGACACGCCGUUAAACAUUUAGAAGGUGAUUUUUAUUUAUUUAUAGCAACUAACAUUUAGCAAUCUAAGAAUUAAUCUAUCUGAGUUUGAUUUUCCGGUUGCUAAGACGAUGUUUUUGUGGGUUUAUUCAGGCGUGGAAGGUUUGAAGACAGAUUGUGCCGGCAACAAACUAACGGUGACGGGGAAAGUGGACCCAGCAAAAAUCAAAGCCAGGCUUGAAGAGAAGACCAAGAGGACUUGGAAAGUCGAGAUUAUCUCUCCCCAACCUAAGAAAGACGAUGGUGCCGCUGCAAAAAUCAAAGCCAGGCUUGAAGAGAAGACCAAGAGGAAAGUCGAGAUUAUCUCUCCCCAACCUAAGAAAGACGAUGGUGCCGCUGCAAAAAUCAAAGCCAGGCUUGAAGAGAAGACCAAGAGGAAAGUCGAGAUUAUCUCUCCCCAACCUAAGAAAGACGAUGGUGCCGCUGCAAAAAUCAAAGCCAGGCUUGAAGAGAAGACCAAGAGGAAAGUCGAGAUUAUCUCUCCCCAACCUAAGAAAGACGAUGGUGCCGCUAAGAAACCCGAAAAGAAACCGGAGGGGAAUAAGGAAGAAGCGAAAAAACCACCUCCAGAGGUAAAUAAAUAAAUAAAUUACUGCCUACUAAGAUUUAAUCGUGAAUAUAGACGUUGAUUAUCCUUUUGUUUUCUAUUGUUAGUACUUUUUAACUAAUUUUUAAUAACUCUUGGUAGUUGCAGAGUACCGUCGUUUUGAAAAUCAGGCUGCACUGUGAAGGUUGCAUUUCAAAAAUAAAGAAAACCAUCUCCGAAAUCAAAGGUAAUUAGUUAAUUAUACAUUUGAUUAUUACAUCAAACUAACAUAUUAAAUCUGAAUAUUCAAAGUCGGUGGCAAAAUAGUAAACAAAUAGAUGGCUGACGUGGCUAAUUAAAAACAGGUGUGGGCAGCGUGACUGUGGACGCGGCGAAGAAUCUGGUCACUGUGAAGGGAACAAUGGAUGUGAAGGACUUGGCACCGUACCUAAAAGAGAAAAAAGGAUAGCAGUGGAGGCGGUUCCACCGAAAAAGGAGGAAGAGAAGAAAGACAAAGCAGGCAGCGGAGACAGCGCGGUCCUGAUUGCCUGCCUUGUAUUCUUAAUUACACGUGCUGUGGUGUUAUUAAUUACAUAGAACCCUUGGUGCUGCAACAAAUGGCAGUGGUGGUGUCUGCCUGUCUGGUGUGCGUUGAGUUCGUUCCAAUAAUACAUCAUUUUAGGUUGCUAUUUCGGUAUGCAGGGUUCCGAACCCUUUAUUGAAGCAGAUUGAUUUUCAAUCUAGGUGGUAAUAUAUGUUGGGAAAAUUAAGAGUCUGAUUGUAUAGAACAGCAAGGGAUUAUUCAAUAUACGUGCUCUGCUUGAUUUUGAUAUGUUGUCUGCAUGCAUGGAAAUUACAUAUUCUGUGCAAGUAGUUCCUCCAGAAUGUUUAAUAAACAACAAAUUAAUAUAGAAUACUAUAAUAGUUGUAUGAACCUAAAGGUUUUUGUCAAGGACAAUCAAAUUGGGAUAAAGAAACGCAUAAAAAGGGAUAUGCGCUAUUCAAAUGCAAAAACAGCACGACUCUGCUGCAUCAGGCCUUAGUGCAACACGACGAUUUCCACGAUCUUCAAAACAAUAUAACUGCACAAAGAAAGUGAAAAAAAAGUGAUGGGAUUUAAAAAUUUAAAAUACCAGAACCUGCCACUUAAUUAAGCACUUGAUAGCUUCUUUAAGUUAAGUUGCAGUCUAUUAAACAAUACAAUUGUUAAAAAGAAACGAAAUACACACACACACACCUGGUCUCUGAUUUCCUCUCCAGCUUUCCUUAUAAACAGUGCCUCCGAUUCUAACACCGGAUAAUCAACCUCCUCGAACCCAAACAGUCGCGACACCUAAAAACCAACAAAAGCAUGUUAAAUUAGUAAGUAUUACAUGGAGAUAGAUAUGUUUUAUUUAUAAUAUAGACAGAGGUCUGACCUCUUUGAAAUUGUGAAAGAGCCAGCCGCGGAGGCGCAUUUCUUCUGGAGGGAAAUCUCUGGUACCUUUAGGAGGAUUGACAUCAAUUUUCUGCACUGAAUUUUCGAGUACCGGCGGACCAGCCAGCGCGGCCGACCUUUCUCCUCCGCCGCCACUGCCAUUCUCCGAUGCGGAAAGUGCAGUUGCUACAGAAGAGAGAGUUCUAGGGUUAAACGGAAUCAACUGGCUGGAGAGAGGAAAUUUAGGGGCUGAAAUAGAGAAGUAACUGAGAGAAAAGAAGUUAGGUUUUAGAUAAUGGUUCAGGCUCGGGUGGAAUAUAUGAAGAGAAGAUGGAAAUGGAGGCAUGGCGAAAACAAGGGAAGGGAAGGGAACACUUCGCUUGGCCACUCUACUCUGCUUGUUUUACUUUGCUGGAGCCUGGAGGGGAAGAAGAUAGUGUUUUUCUUUUUCUUUUUCUUUUUCUUUUUAAAUGGGCCGGUCCUUAAAGGAAUAGGCUAACUAACUUAGAAUAGUUGAUGGGCUGGGAGUUAUCGAGAUUGUCAUGGACUGGCUGCAUCCUGAGGAGCAGGCCUACAAUCCUACAUCACAUAUGCUCAUGGGCCCAUUUGAUAUUUUCUUCAUAUUUUCAUAAUUUUGAAAACAGCUUUUUUUAUAUAUAAAAAAAGACAGAAAAUAGUGGUAGAACAAAAGGUUCCAGGAACACGAACAAAAUUAUAAAAAACUUGGUAUGAAUGGAGAAAGUUUAGAAUACGCCAGAUAAUUAGUUCAUGGGUCGGGUCAUUUUUAACGUAUAAAAAAUAUUUUUAUGUUGUUAAUUUUUUUUUUCUAAUAGAAAAGAAAUUAAACCACGUUGGAAUUGAUUUGAUACCACUCAAUCGCUUUGACUAGUUAAAAAGCAAUUUGGAUAACUAGUAAAAACAUAGUUUGACUCAAAAUAAAUAUUUUAAUGAGUUUUUUAAUAAAUACUAAGACAACAAUAUAUUAAAUUGAUUUGGGUCAACCUAAGUUAAUUUUUCAAUUUGUAUACUAAGUCAUGAGAUCAUGAUAACCCCAUGGAAAGAAACUGAAAAUAAAUUGUGAAGCUCAAUUUUUAAUAAACUCAAUGUUGAAGCAAGAGACUGGAAAAAAAAUCAAUUAAAAAAAGACCCUAAAAAUAACUUGAGUCAACAUGCUAAAUCCGCAAUCCUGGUUAUGAGAUCAUUAUAACUCAACAGAAAAAAAAUCAAAAUAAAUUAUGAAAUUUAAUUCUCAAUCAACUUAGUGUUGAAAGAUGAAAUUAAGAAAAUUGAAUAAAAAGUACAUAAAAAACGAUAUGUCAAUCCUGUAAUCCAAGUCAUGACAUGUAAAUAAAUUCAUAAAAAGUAGACCGAAAUAUAUCAUGAAAUGUAAUUCCUAAUAAACAUGAAGUUAAAGGAUGUUGAGAGGAAAAAAAAAGUCAAUUAGGAAAAUGAAGAAAACUCGAGCGAACUCGUUAAACCCAAAGUCCAAGUUAUGAGUUUGAGAUAACUUCAUAAAAAAUAAUUUCAAAAAAAAUAAAGUUCAAUCCCUAACAAAUCUAAUGUUGAAGUAUGAGAUUAAAAUUAAAAAAAAAUAUUAUUCAUGUGAAUAAUAUUACGUGAGGAGGAGAACAAUAAAACUCCCUCCUCUUUUAGGUUUUUGUUAAUAUAUGUAUAAAAGUUAGCAUUACUAUUUAUCUAUGAGCUAUUCAUAAAUAAAUAAAUAAAAAGAAUAUACAACCAACAUUUAUUGGAAAUUGUUAAAAACAUAUUAAUGAUGUCAUUAUUCUAUAUUGGAUAGAAAAUGAGGAUUUUAGUCGUUUACAAGCACAAAAUGCAUUUUUCUCUAUAAGAGAUGUCUUUUAAAAUGACAAAACUCGUUAUGUGGUUCUAGUGGAAAAAUACCUCUCGAUAGAUCUACCAUGUGUGGGUAUGGACACACAUCAUCAUUAACAUUAUAUGUGAAAACAUCAACCAUAUACGAUUACCCAAGCUCCUUGCCUGAGAGCUAUAAUAAUAUCACUAUUUCAUAUCGAUUAAAAAACAAGGGUAUUAGUUCCUUAUAAGCACAAAAGACAUAUUUCUCUCCAAUAAAUGUAUUUUAAAAGAACAAAACUCACCAUGUGUUUCUAAUAAAACACUACAUCUUGAAGAACUUAUCACGUUUGGGUGUGAACAUAUAUAAUCACAUAAUAUUUUCAAUAUUGUUUGUUACGCGGCUUGGCAUAAAUGAAGGCUAAAAAAUGCCAAUAUUAAACAAGUCAUGUAAGUACGUUAACUGAAAAUUUUACUUUCAGUGCAAAUUAUCAAUUACCCUGAUUUGUUAUAAUUAAUGACUAGCAUAUUGUAUCAUGCUCAGGUUAAUAAUAUUUUUUUAAAAAUAUAAAAAAAUAUAAAAAGAAAAAAAAAUUUAUCAAACGCUUUGAAUCUAGUAUCAAUGUUAGGCUCAAUAUUAUUGGGUUCUGGUGACAGCAUGGCCCAUAUCUAAAAAAAAAUCCAACCAACUAAUCUCAAAUGAAAAAAAAAUUAUUAUUUAUUUUUUAUACCAAAUAAAAAAAUUUCAUCCAUUUAUUUUUUAAUAUGAAUAUUGUAGCAGGACUUUCAAAUAUGUCCAAGAGAUGCAAUGCAGAAGUAAACAAUCUCGAGAAAUUUGAUGGAAGGUUCUUGAAAGAUUGUCACGUUUAAAGAUAGAAACAGUAGCAGCCUGGCAUUCUCUCAUGGCUUGUGGCCCGCAUUGUUAGGUCCUCACAAAGAUGAUGGCUUUUAUUGACUCGUGGGCCCCCCAGUGGUUACACGACAGUUCCUGCCCUGCCAAUUGGAAAAAAAAUCCCGAAAAUGCGAUGCAAAUCUGGUCACAUGCAGAGCAUCGUUUUGGCUGGUGAAUGGUAUGCUCCACGCCAUGAUUUAGAUGGUGCGGAGGAGAGGGGGGGAGUGGGAGGAAAGAAAGUGGAAAAAAGGAAUUAAAGUUGGAAUUCCAAAACAUUUAAAAUGAAAAUACUUUUCCUUGUUCCUGAUUUUCUUUCCUCCCGUUUGUGUUCCAUCAAACGUGAUUUAGGAUUCGAAUCUUUACAAGAUUUCAAGAAAAUAUAUUUUCCUUACAGACAUGCAAAAUUUCCAGCAUAAAUAUAUCCUUGCAAGAACAAAGAUACGAGAGAAAUUCAAUAAGAGAAAAGCUAGAGAAAAUUCACUAAGAUACCAAUGAAAAAAAAACAAAAAACAUUUUUUUUUUAAUUUGCUUGAUAUGAUUUAUGUUCAACUAAAGGGUUGUAUGAUAUUUAAAUGAGGUUCUAUUUUUUGAAAGUAGAAAAAAAAAAUUGAUAGCCUUCUAAAAGCUAUAUAUAUACAUAUAUUGUUUUCUAAAAUGCGAGUUUAAUUAGUGAGUUGAAGAAUGUUUUUGACAAAUAUCAUCUUUAUUUGUUAUUUUAUCAUACAUUAAAUCAUUUUAUCCUACCAGUAGAGUCUCUUUCAAGGUUACAACAUUUGUUUUUUUAAUAGAAAAACAUACCAUAUGAAUUAUAUUUUUACCUCUUUUUGUAUUUUUUAUCCUUAUCAUCAAUAUGUACAAAUGUUUGUUUAUAAUUUUUCAUGCAUUAAGAUAUUACUCUAUCGUUGUGAGUAAACCUAGGUUAUAUCGAUGUAACAUCACCAAAGUCCUUUUUGAGUAUGAGUAAAGAUUUUCAGGCUCAUUUUAGGUUCAAUGAAAUAUAAUGGGUUUGAAGUCCAACUUAUCAAACUCGUAUCAUUAUCUCAGGAUUAACAAUCUCUCACCAUAAACACACAUUUACUAUUUUAUUUCAACUUGACAAGAGCACUAUAAAUAUUUUUAUAAUUAAAAACAAACAUAAUGUAGAUAUAUAUAUAUAUUAUCUUUUCUAUUAUAUAAUCAUCUCAUUUAUUUAUAACUCUAAAGGCUAAUUAGAAUUUCUAAUUAAUAUAAAAUUAGGUGACGACUAUUAUUUUAAAUUUCAUUCUAUAAAUCCUAAAAUAAUUAUGAUUAUCGAGAUGUCUUUCAUGACAUAUCUAAUGGAUUUUUAUACAAAACAAAUCUAAUAUAUACCCCCCUCUCUCUCUCUCUCUCUAUAUAUAUAUAUAUAUAUAAUUUUCAAGUCUUAAUUGUCGUGAAAGAGCCUUAAAAUCAUAAAAUAUAUAUUUGGUAUUGCAGUGUAAAGUGUUUUUCAAUUGAAAAUAUAUUAAAAUAAAUAUUUUUUUAUAUUUUUUUAUCUUUGAUAUCAACACAUCAAACCCAUACAAAAAUAUUUUAAAAAAUCAUGAAUUUAAUAUUUUUCAUGUUAAAAUCAAUUAAAAUAGGAGAAUGUUAUAACUAAAAAACAGGCGCAUCUUAAAGAUUUAUUUGAGAUUAUGGUAGUGAUGGCGAUUCAAAGUGUUUUUUGUUUGAAAAUGCAUUAAAAUUAAAUUUUUUAUUUUUUAAAAAUUAUUUUUGAUAUUAACACAUUAAAAUGAUCUGAAAACAUAAAAUAAUUAUUUUAAGUAAAAUAUUUCAUGAGAGCACGAGUUAUACCGUAUUUCAAAACAUGAUUUAAGUCCUAAUAUGCACCUUUCACACACACACACGUGUGUGUGUGUAAUUUUCAAAGACUCACAAGGACAUUGUAUGGAUGCAUGGUGUUUGGAAUUUGUUAGUCAGCCCACGAUAUUUCUUGGAAAUUUCUUGUGCUACUUUUGGAAACGUGGCUGCGGCUGCGUUUGUGUUUCUAAAAAUUUUAAAUUUUUUUUUUACUAAAAUUUAAUAUGGUUUGUAUGUUUUGAAUCGUUUUAAUGUGCUGAUAUCAAAAAUGAUUUUUAAAAAAUAAAAAAACAUCAUUGGCAUGCAUUUUGACACGAAAAGUUAUUUGAAAAGCACCCGCAACCACAUUGCCAAACACGCUAUUCCCUUGACAUGUAAAUUGAGAUCUGGGCAUGAGAUCCUCGUUCCUUCUUUAUUUUUCCUCGUAAUCCAUGAGAUCCUCAUUCUUGUUUUUUAUUUGAUAGCGUAAAGUAUUAAAUAUCCAUCGUGCAAGUGAAAUGUCAUUUUUAUAUAAAUAAGAAGAUAUUUUUUGUUAGAAAAAAUAUUAAUUUUUUUAAAAAUAUAUUUUUAACAUAACAUAUUAAAACAAUCUAAAAUUAUUAAAAUAUUAAUUUUAAAUAAAAAAAUUAAAUUAAUAAAAAAUACAAUUUCAAUCAAGUUUCGAGUUGUGAAGCUGCCGUUUGGUAAUGUGGUUGCGGGUGGACUUCACCCGCAGCCACAGAUAUUACCUUUUGGUUAAAGAAAAAACAUAGGUUUAUGCUGGUAGGACCCACCAAAAAUAUGGUUGUGCCGCAGGUUUUAUAGAAGCACAAUUUUAUUGCUUCUCGUGGGGGAGGAAUCACUGAACAGUGGAGCCAUGCUUCAUUGUCGCACUGUUCAUUAAAGUGAAUAGUUUUUUUCUUUCAAAAAACAAAUGCAGUGAAUUGAUUUCACUCGCACUGUUCACGUGAACAGUAAUUUGUUUUUUGUUUUUUAAAAGAAUUAGUUUAAGGUGAAUUAAAUUUACUCACACUGUAAUCUCAAUUUUAUUCCUGAUAAUAUUUUACCAAAUUUUAUUGCACGCUAAAAAAGGCAUGGAAAUUAUAGUUCUUGCCGGAUGAAUUUUGUACGUAAUAGAAUUGUACAUAGUUUAAUGGAACAAUAAAAAAUAUUUUAUAUAAAGUAUUAUUUAUUUCAUGAUGUAAUAGUAGUAGUUAAAUCUACAAUAUUUAAAUUAAAAACCAUCAAUAUUGUUAUAUAUAUUUUUUAAUUAUUUUAUAACCUCAAUUUGAAAAACAUUUUUUUAACCAAACACUUUAAACUAUUUUUUAUUUAAUCUCAAUUUUAAUCAUAGUUUUAACUAAACAUAUAUUUUAUCAAAACAACAUCAAUUAAAAACAUUUUUUAUAAAAUAUUAUUUUUUAAAUCCCAACCACAUCAGUUACUGUAAUUUCAAACACUCAUAAGAGUCCGAGGAAGGUAUCGCACUAGGAUUGAUGUUGACUCAUCUACAGUGGCCUAGGAUUUUCCUCCGUGUAUUUCGUGCAAUGGAAUCAAAGGUCUAAAACCGUGGGAGACCAUUUCGAUCUACCCAAGGUAGAUUGAUUACGUCAUUGAUGCUGUAAGCUUCCCUUAGCAAAGUCAAAUGCAAUGCCCUUGAAGAUUUGACAGUGGCUCCAUAAAGGGCUUGAAAUUGAAAGCCACUAUGGAUAAGAAAGAGUGUCCGCCUUUCUUUCGUCGAUGUAAUAAUAAUUUUGGCAUUCUUGGUCCUCAAACAAUUAUUGUUGCCUCGAGGCUCGCUGCCAGCACUGCCAUCAUGCAUGCCUUGCGGCAUGGCCUCGAAGAUGCUGAUGCCGCCACUGUCAUCUACGAGACCCCUUUUUAAUGCAUUUCUAUCUUUAUGCUAAGUUGCAGCUGAUAUUUCUAGGGCAAAAAUCAAAAGCUCCACGCCUUUCCAAGCUUUGCUUGUAUUUUAACAGUUGGAUCUCGUGCCCAUUAAAAUUAGAUUUGAUCACUUAGAUUAAGAGACGUGUGGUCUUGUGAUAGCAUUAUUUUUAAAAUAUUUUUAUAAAAAUUUAUUUUUAAUGCUAAUAUAUCAAAAUAAUUUAAAAACAUAAAAAAAAAUUAAAUAUUUUUAAAAGUGAACAAACUGAUUUUUUAAAAGGAUGUUUGAAGCAGCGGUAAAUACUUCAAAAUAAUAUUUUUUAUUUUUUAAAAUUUAUUUUUAAUAUUAUCACAUCAAAACAUAAAAACAUCAUAUCAAAAUUCCGGUUCAAUCACCGGCUGAACUCCACCCUGAGCACGAAGGAAAGAUAAUUAGGAGAAAAGGUCAAGUUUUUAACAGGGAGGAACAUGACAUUUGCACCAAAUCCAACUUAUUUGAAGAAAAGAAAAAUUUGAAAGUUUGACGAUAUCAAAUUACUUACCUGGUACUAGUUUUUUAAUCAUAUAAUUAUUAUUAUUUAAACCAAGGAAGAAUUUCAAGACUUGUACUUAGUAUUCGUAUUUGACUGUUAUUAGGGGUGGGAAUAUCUAGAGCAACACACUUAAAUAAGAUGCCAAUCCACUAAAAUUAAACAGACAGCUCAGGUAAUACAAAUUCCACAACAAGGUGACUUGGAAUUCUCAACGUCAAGAAAAAUUAAAAAUAAAACAAGAAAAUAGAAAAAAAAAACCCAAAUACGACAACAGCAAGUAAAUACCAAAUAAAAUUAUUAUAUUAUAAUUGAUGCGGUUUUACUUUCCUAUGAACGGGUCUUUUAUGGUCCUUUUAUUUUUGUAUUUAAAAAAAAUAUUUUUUUUUACUUUAAAUAAUUUUUUUAUGUUUUUAGAUUAUUUUGAUGUGCUAAUAUCAAAAAUAAUUUUUUAAAAAUAAAAAAAAUAUUAUUUUAAUAUAUUUCCAAACAAAAAACACUUUCAAAAAUAACUAUUACCACAUCCUCAAACAUCUUCUUUAAAAUUAACGGCACCAACCACGACAAAAGCAUAACUUUUGUGGCAAUGUAGCAACCAAUAAUUCUUUUUUUUAUAUUUUAGAAGUGUUUUUUUAAUUUAUUUUUUAAUUUUAAAUUAUUUAUAAAUUAUUUUAAUAUUCUGAUAUCAAAAAUAAUUUUUUAAAAAUAAAAAAUAUAUUAUUUUAAUAUAUUUUUAAAGUAAAAAACAUUUAACCAUUCCUUUAAAAUUGACUGUGCCAACCACAGCAAACGCAUAACUUUUCUGGCACCGUAACAACCAGCAAUUGCCUCUCCCACCACCGCCUGUCUGAUGACAAUCGAGUCCGUUUUAACUGACCCGUCAUGGUCAAGUAAAAAGCCAGAUGAUUUGUCACGAAUGCCGUCGUUUCUAGACAAUUGUUUUGUCCACCAAGGCGGCACAAACCAUAAAACUCCUUUCUCUCUCUCCUCGCCCACCAGUGCUGACCUCAUUCUAAAAGUCUCCAUCAUCAUCCAUCAUUCAUCAAAAUACCAUCAUCACCAUCCAUAAACAUACAUAACCCAUCCUCUUGUUUCGCAUACGUUCCACCAACCUACCCCUUUUCUCCUCUCUAUAUAUUCGCCUUGUUUGCCUCCAAUUUACAUCUUCAAAAACAAUUCCAAUAACCAACAACGAGUUGCCAGUGAAAAAGAAAAAAAAACCUUGAUGGGUGCCGAGGUUAGUUAAAACCCACUAGCUCACUCACUCUCCGUUCUUCAAUUUUAAUUUAUUCCUUGCUUAAUUUGGCUUAAUUUGUUGUUUCGAGCAGAAAGAAGGUGCGAAGGUUGAAGCCGAGAAGAAGCCCGCUGCUGAUGCUGGUGAAAAGAAAGAUGAGGCCAAAGUUAUUUCCGUUUACAAGCUGGACAUGCAUUGUGAAGGCUGUGCCAAGAAAAUUAGACACGCCGUUAAACAUUUAGAAGGUGAUUUUUAUUUAUUUAUAGCAACUAACAUUUAGCAAUCUAAGAAUUAAUCUAUCUGAGUUUGAUUUUCCGGUUGCUAAGACGAUGUUUUUGUGGGUUUAUUCAGGCGUGGAAAGUUUGAAGACAGAUUGUGCCGGCAACAAACUAACGGUGACGGGGAAAGUGGACCCAGCAAAAAUCAAAGCCAGGCUUGAAGAGAAGACCAAGAGGAAAGUCGAGAUUAUCUCUCCCCAACCUAAGAAAGACGAUGGUGCCGCUGCUGGUGGUGGCGAUAAAAAGGCCGAUGAGAAACCCGAAAAGAAACCGGAGGGGAAGAAGGAAGAAGCGAAAAAACCACCUCCAGAGGUAAAUAAAUAAAUUACUGCCUACUAAGAUUUAAUCGUGAAUAUAGACGUUGAUUAUCCUUUUGUUUUCUAUUGUUAGUACUUAUUAACUAAUUUUUAAAAACUCUUGGUGGUCGCAGAGUACCGUUGUUUUGAAAAUCAGGCUACACUGUGAAGGUUGCAUUUCAAAAAUAAAGAAAAUCAUCUCCAAAAUCAAAGGUAAUUAGUUAAUUAUACAUUUGAUUAUUAGAUCUAACUAACAUAUUAAAUCUGAAUAUUCAAAGUCGGUGGCAAAAUAGUAAAGAAUAGAUGGCUGACGUGGCUAAUUAAAAACAGGUGUGGGCAGCGUGACUGUGGACGCGGCGAAGGAUCUGGUCACGGUGAAGGGAACAAUGGACGUGAAGGACUUGGCACCGUACCUAAAAGAGAAACUAAGGAGAGCAGUGGAGGUGGUUCCUCCGAAAAAGGAGGAAGAGAAGAAAGACAAAGCAGGCGGCGGAGACGGUGGGGAUAAAAAGGAGAACAAAGCGGCCCCCGCUGAUGGUGGCGGCGAGAAGAAAGAGAAAGGGGGGGAAGCGAAAGGUGAAGAGAAGAAGAAAGAAGGGGAUGGAGGGAAGAAGGAGGAGGCUGCUGGUGCUAAGGUGGAGGUGAGCAAGAUGGAGUAUUCUGGAUAUCCAGGUCCAGCACCUACUUUCUGGUUUGAUGGGGU
rnacentral:lncRNA from 1 species